rnacentral:rRNA from 1 species
CGCCUUUUGAAUUACUAAUAUAAAAGGUCCUGCCUGCCCAGUGACACCUGUUUCAACGGCCGCGGUAUUAUGACCGUGCAAAGGUAGCGUAAUCACUUGUCUUUUAAAUAAAGACCAGUAUGAAUGGCAAGACGAAAGCCUAACUGUCUCCCUAAGUUAGUCAAUAAAAUUGAUCUUCCCGUGCAGAAGCGGGAAUAAUAGUAUAAGACGAGAAGACCCUGUGGAGCUUUAAACUUUAACUAACAAAACAUAAAAUGUACUAGCACCAAGUUUUAGGUUGGGGCGACCAUGAGGUAAAACACAACCCUCAAGACGAAAACCAAGAAGGACACUUCAAAUAAUAUUAAUUAACGCAAUUGACCCAAUAAUUGAUCAACGAACCAAGUUACCCCAGGGAUAACAGCGCAAUCUACUCAAAGAGCCCCUAUCGACGAGCAGGUUUACGACCUCGAUGUUGGAUCAGGACCCCCAAUAAUGCAACAGUUAUUAAAGGUUCGUUUGUUCAACGAUUAAAGUCCU